rnacentral:rRNA from 1 species
AACGAACGCUGGCGGCGUGCCUAACACAUGCAAGUCGUGCGAGAAAGUUCCUUCGGGAGCGAGUAAAGCGGCGCACGGGUGAGUAACACGUAGGUAACCUGCCCCCCAGUCUGGAACAACUAGAGGAAACUCUAGCUAAUGCCGGAUGAGACCACGAUCCCUUCGGGGGUUGCGGCCAAAGAUGGCCUCUACUUGUAAGCUAUCGCUGAGGGAUGGGCCUGCGGGCCAUUAGCUUGUUGGUGAGGUAACGGCUCACCAAGGCUGUGAUGGCUAGCUGGCCUGAGAGGAUGACCAGCCACACUGGGACUGAGACACGGCCCAGACUCCUACGGGAGGCAGCAGUGGGGAAUAUUGCGCAAUGGGCGAAAGCCUGACGCAGCGACGCCGCGUGGGUGAUGAAGGCCU